CUGCAGGGGAGAGGUCGAGUACAGAUCCAGUUCAUGGAGGAGAUGCCAGCACAGGGUCAAUCAGUCUCUUGUUCGUCCUUCGGAUGGUUCACUGCUCGCAGAGGUUAUUUGCUCAUUCUCUGCUCGUCUAUGUCGUCAGCGAGAAGGUUAUUUCGUGU